GGACAUAGCUCAGUGCUAGAGCAUCUGUUUUGCAUACAGAAGGUCCGAGGUUCAAUCCCUGACAUCUCCA